GGAAUCUUCCACAAUGGACGCAAGUCUGAUGGGGCAACGCCGCGUGAGUGAAGAAGGUCUUCGGAUCGUAAAACUCUGUUGUUAGAGAAGAACACGAGUGAGAGUAACUGUUCAUUCGAUGACGGUAUCUAACCAGCAAGUCACGGCUAACUACGUGCCAA
rnacentral:rRNA from 1 species